rnacentral:pre_miRNA from 1 species
GAAGGGUGGAGGAGAUCCCUCAGCCUGGAUUGCAAGAUGGUGCAGGACAGGCUGAGGGACCCCACCAAUGCAUG